rnacentral:lncRNA from 1 species
UUCUUACGUGAUUUUGGUAGUCUCUUCGGUAUAUCACGCUGCAAAAAAGAAAAGAAGCGAAAACUAUUUAACACAAUGUAAUUUAAGAAAUGAGUAAUGAAAACUUUCACAGAAAGCAAUAAGGUUUUGCCAAUGUACUCGGAUUCCAAUGUCAACCAAACAGAAAACAAUAAGGUUUUGCCAAUGUACUCGGAUUCCAAUGUUAACCAAACUUCCUGACAAAAUGUUAUCACAAAAAUAAAACACUCGUAAGUUGCCUAACUGGAAUUCAUAAUUACUUCAGAAACUAUGGAUCAUUUAGUUAUAAUAAGCACAACUUUAAAUAGGACAGAAACAAAGGUUUAAAGUGGCGUGACACGGGGGUGUGCCGUUAUGUCCCUGGCAC